CCCAGACUCCUACGGGAGGCAGCAGUGGGGAAUAUUGCACAAUGGGGGAAACCCUGAUGCAGCGACGCCGCGUGAAGGAUGAAGUAUUUCGGUAUGUAAACUUCUAUCAGCAGGGAAGAAAAUGACGGUACCUGACUAAGAAGCCCCGGCUAACUACGUGCCAGCAGCCGCGGUAAUACGUAGGGGGCAAGCGUUAUCCGGAUUUACUGGGUGUAAAGGGAGCGUAGACGGCAUGGCAAGUCUGAUGUGAAAACCCGGGGCUCAACCCCGGGGCUGCAUUGGAAACUGGCAGGCUGGAGUGCCGGAGAGGCAGGCGGAAUUCCUAGUGUAGCGGUGAAAUGCGUAGAUAUUAGGAGGAACACCAGUGGCGAAGGCGGCCUGCUGGACGGUGACUGACGCUGAGGCUCGAAAGCGUGGGGAGCAAACAGGAUUAGAUACCCUCGUA
rnacentral:rRNA from 1 species